UACGUAGGUCCCGAGCGUUGUCCGGAAUUACUGGGCGUAAAGCGUGCGCAGGCGGUUAUGUAAGACAGAUGUGAAAUGCCCGGGCUUAACCUGGGAACUGCAUUUGUGACUGCAUGGCUAGAGUUUGGCAGAGGGGGGUAGAAUUCCACGUGUAGCAGUGAAAUGCGUAGAUAUGUGGAGGAACACCGAUGGCGAAGGCAGCCCCCUGGGUCAAGACUGACGCUCAUGCACGAAAGCGUGGGGAGCAAACAGG
rnacentral:rRNA from 1 species